ACAAAGGCAUUGACGAGAAAGAGUAAGCAACCGUAGCUUUUACAGAGAAUCCCAUCACAAUGUGCUGAGAAUGGGUAAAGCGAAAUUUGCUGAACAUGGUCUCCGAGCCGCGCACCGAACAAUGUAGCAGGCUGCUGCAGUUAGGCUGCGACGGGAUCGCCCGUAACAGCGAUAGGGUUUCGAUGAAAUAUUUCUCGACGAUAAUUUCGUCAGAAAUUUCGUCUGUGAAUCCGAUAAGGCUUGUUCCGUGAGGAACAGGCGAAUUAGGGUGGUAACACGUGAGCAACGCUCUCGUCCCUUAG
rnacentral:ncRNA from 1 species